UGUUGGAAGUGCACAAGAAACUUAUUCAAAACUUGAGUAGAAAGCUUGAGGCGAAAGAAGAGUCUUGAAGGAGAAAAAGGAAAUGUUGGAAGUGCACAAGAAACUUAUUCAAAACUUGAGUAGAAAGCUUGAGGCGAAAGAAGAGGUUACUGCGAGAUCACAACCCUUAAAGGUCGCUGCGACAUGGAUACUGUAACCAUGACUGAAUUGAAGCAAGUUUUGAAGCAGCAAGAAGAUCACACCGGCCAGUUAGAGGCGUGUAAUGGCUAUCUAAGGCUUGGCCGCGAUCAUGUCGAAAAGCGUUUGAGGGCGUUCGCGAAGAACUCGAGGAAGCACAGAAAAAUCUCCAGGGACUUGAAAAUGAGAUAGCUCAUACUGCUGAAGUCUUGAAGCACAAAACGGAAAUGUUGGAAGUGCACAAGAAACUUAUUCAAAACUUGAGUAGUAAUAAUAGCAAUAGUUAAUAAUAACAAUAACAAUAACAAUUGGUUACUUCAAGUAUUGAUAUUCAGGCAUAAAUCAAUAAAGAUACCAAUAAAAUUCGCAAUAAAUAAAUACUAUUUGCUAAACAUGAAAAAAAAA